rnacentral:tRNA from 1 species
UCCCUGGUAGCUCAGUUGGUAAAGAAUCUGCCUGCAAUGCAGGAGACCUGGGUUUGAUUCCUGGGUUGGGAA